GACGAACGCUGUCGGCGGGCUUAACACAUGCAAGUCGAACGGAAAGGCCCUGCUUUUGUGGGGUGCUCGAGUGGCGAACGGGUGAGUAACACGUGAGUAACCUGCCCUUGACUUUGGGAUAACUUCAGGAAACUGGGGCUAAUACCGGAUAGGAGCUCCUGCUGCAUGGUGGGGGUUGGAAAGUUUCGGCGGUUGGGGAUGGACUCGCGGCUUAUCAGCUUGUUGGUGGGGUAGUGGCUUACCAAGGCUUUGACGGGUAGCCGGCCUGAGAGGGUGACCGGCCACAUUGGGACUGAGAUACGGCCCAGACUCCUACGGGAGGCAGCAGUGGGGAAUAUUGCACAAUGGGCGGAAGCCUGAUGCAGCAACGCCGCGUGCGGGAUGACGGCCUUCGGGUUGUAAACCGCUUUCGCCUGUGACGAAGCGUGAGUGACGGUAAUGGGUAAAGAAGCACCGGCUAACUACGUGCCAGCAGCCGCGGUGAUACGUAGGGUGCGAGCGUUGUCCGGAUUUAUUGGGCGUAAAGGGCUCGUAGGUGGUUGAUCGCGUCGGAAGUGUAAUCUUGGGGCUUAACCCUGAGCGUGCUUUCGAUACGGGUUGACUUGAGGAAGGUAGGGGAGAAUGGAAUUCCUGGUGGAGCGGUGGAAUGCGCAGAUAUCAGGAGGAACACCAGUGGCGAAGGCGGUUCUCUGGGCCUUUCCUGACGCUGAGGAGCGAAAGCGUGGGGAGCGAACAGGCUUAGAUACCCUGGUAGUCCACGCUGUAAACGGUGGGUACUAGGUGUGGGGUCCAUUCCACGGGUUCCGUGCCGUAGCUAACGCUUUAAGUACCCCGCCUGGGGAGUACGGCCGCAAGGCUAAAACUCAAAGGAAUUGACGGGGCCCCGCACAAGCGGCGGAGCAUGCGGAUUAAUUCGAUGCAACGCGUAGAACCUUACCUGGGUUUGACAUGGAUCGGGAGUGCUCAGAGAUGGGUGUGCCUCUUUUGGGGUCGGUUCACAGGUGGUGCAUGGCUGUCGUCAGCUCGUGUCGUGAGAUGUUGGGUUAAGUCCCGCAACGAGCGCAACCCUUGUUCACUGUUGCCAGCACGUUAUGGUGGGGACUCAGUGGAGACCGCCGGGGUCAACUCGGAGGAAGGUGGGGAUGACGUCAAGUCAUCAUGCCCCUUAUGUCCAGGGCUUCACGCAUGCUACAAUGGCUGGUACAGAGAGUGGCGAGCCUGUGAGGGUGAGCGAAUCUCGGAAAGCCGGUCUCAGUUCGGAUUGGGGUCUGCAACUCGACCUCAUGAAGUCGGAGUCGCUAGUAAUCGCAGAUCAGCAACGCUGCGGUGAAUACGUUCCCGGGGCU
rnacentral:rRNA from 1 species